UACGUAGGGUGCAAGCGUUGUCCGGAAUUAUUGGGCGUAAAGAGCUCGUAGGCGGUUUGUCGCGUCUGCUGUGAAAACUCGGGGGCUUAACCCCGGCCUGCAGUGGGUACGGGCAGACUAGAGUGCGGUAGGGGAGUCUGGAAUUCCUGGUGUAGCGGUGAAAUGCGCAGAUAUCAGGAGGAACACCGGUGGCGAAGGCGGGUCUCUGGGCCGAUAUUGACGCUGAGGAGCGAAAGCGUGGGGAGCAAACAGG
rnacentral:rRNA from 1 species